rnacentral:misc_RNA from 1 species
GAUGAAGAACGCAGCGAAAUGCGAUAAGUAAUGUGAAUUGCAGAAUUCGGUGAAUCAUCGAAUCUUUGAACGCACCUUGCGCCCUUUGGCUAUUCCGAAGGGCAUGCCUGUUUGAGUAUCAUGAACACCUCAACUCUCAUGGUUUGCCAUGAUGAGCUUGGACUUUGGGGGUCUUGCCGGCCUAUGGGUCGGCUCCUCUCAAAUUAAUCAGCUUGCCAGUGUUUGGUGGCAUCACAGGUGUGAUAACUAUCUACGCUUGUGGUUUUCCAUCAGGUAACCUUCAGUGAUGGAGGUUCGCUGGGGCUCAUAAAUGUCUCUCCUCAGUGAGGACAGCUUUUUUGAACGUUUGAUCUCAAAUCAGGUAGGACUACCCGCUGAACUUAAGCAUAUCAAUAAGCGGAGGA